UACGUAGGUGGCAAGCGUUAUCCGGAUUUACUGGGUGUAAAGGGCGUGUAGGCGGACUGUCAAGUCAGCGGUAAAAUUGAGAGGCUCAACCUCUUCCCGCCGUUGAAACUGGUGGUCUUGAGUGGAUGAGAAGUACGCGGAAUGCGUGGUGUAGCGGUGAAAUGCAUAGAUAUCACGCAGAACUCCGAUUGCGAAGGCAGCGUACCGGCAUCCAACUGACGCUGAGGCACGAAAGCGUGGGGAUCAAACAGG
rnacentral:rRNA from 1 species